AUACGAAGGUCCCAAGCGUUAUUCGGAAUCACUGGGCGUAAAGAGUACGUAGGCGGUUUGGUAAGUCAGGUGUGAAAUCCCGAAGCUCAACUUCGGAACUGCAUCCGAUACUGCCAGACUAGAGUAAUGGAGAGGCAGGUGGAAUUCUCGGUGUAGCAGUGAAAUGCGUGGAUAUCGAGAGGAAGACCAAUGGCGAAGGCAGCCUGCUGGACAUUUACUGACGCUGAGGUACGAAGGCUAGGGGAGCGAAAGGGAGUAGAAACCCCGGUAGUCC
rnacentral:rRNA from 1 species